ACUCCGAGGCUCCCGGGCUUCGCGGGGACGCAUUUGCAGCCCCCUCUGCCUCUCCUCUUGGGCUGCCGAGGCGAAGGAGCCGCCUUGCUGGGGCUUCGUGGUGGUGUAUUUCAUAUUGGGGCUCUUUUCGGGGUUUGUAAUUUGGCCGUGGGUAGGUAAUUGGCUGGAGCAGGGCGGCAGGGCGCGGCAGCCAAUCAGCGCGCGGCUUCUAUAGGGCUUGAGUUAUUAGACGCUGAUCUCAAAACAUCGUUCAUCAGACACCAAGGAGAGGCCAACAGAUGAGGGGAGCCAUUUUUCUGCAAUGGAAUUAAAUGGCCAAGUGGGUUUUUCCUUUGUUGCAAAUGGGGAAUGUUUUUCCUUUGACUCCACCAUCCAGUUCAGGACGCCUCAGUGUUGUGUUUAACAUUUGUCAACAGGCUAAAGGACUCACAAUUGGAAGAAUGAAGAAGACUUUUUAAAAAGAUCUGGAUUUUUCCUUAUGACUUGGAAUCCAUCUUUGUCUUGUAUAACUAGGUCAUAGCACACCAUUAAUGUCAGCAGUUAACAAUUUUGAAUUCCAAAAAACCUAAGUAAAUGACAUAUUUAAUUUUUUUCCUCUUUUUUUUUCUUGGGUGGGUGGGGGGAGCUUGGAGCUGUCUUAAUCUGUAUUCUCUUGACUGAACAAUAAAUUUUUAAAUAUAUAUAGUUUCCUCUAUUAAACACUUAAACCUGGCCAUCUUAUUAACUCCUUCUGCUCUUUUUUUUUUAACAAGGUAAUGUUUUAAAUGUAUAGUUUUAGGACUAGCGAAAUGGCAGCAACAAAAAAUUGUAAGCAGUCGUUACUCUUUUUUAAGUUUUUAAAAACCUUUUACAUUGUAAGUACCCAAUCCAUUCUGUCCUUACGCAGUGCAGUUUCUAUGUUAAUGUUGCUGAGAUGUCCUUAAUUUUCUGAACCUUCAUCUGCAUGUAUGUCUUUGUUGCUCUUGUCUAAUAUAAGCCAGUUAAAAUGCUUUUAGACGACUUUGCUUUUUAUAAAGCUAAGGUUUUAGCUUUAUGCUUUUGAAAAUGUUUACAGCCAUAAAUGCUAGUCAGCUUUCUUCCCAGUAACGUACACUUUCUUUGAAAAUCGAUCUAUUUGAAGAAAAACACUUCUGUUUUUCUCGUCUUGGUAGGGGAGUGGGUGAGGGAAAGGAAGACCUUCUCUUUGUGUACAGAGACUAAAGCCGUCACAGGAAACUAGAUUAAAACUGGAAAACAAGUCCUAGCUGGUUCGAGCCAAACACCAACGUUAACUCGCGGGUAUUUUCUAUGGUGGUUGGGAUGGCCGUGCGUCUUUUGCCUUUUGUUUGAUUUGACCGUGUUUUCGCCUUUUGUCUCUUAAUGACGAUCACACCAUUGCUAUAUCCAGAGCAGUAAACAGUCCUCAGCGAAGCCGCCUUUUGCCAACCCAACCCUGGAAAGUUUGCAGAAGUGGAAGGAGCAGAAAAUGCCAUGAGAGUGUAACUUACAAAAAGACUCCAUGGCACCGGGCUGAGCGGGGCACACCCUCCAACCCUGCGCUCUGGAGGCCGGGGGCGGCGAGGGGGGAGGCUUGCGGCCUGGGAAGGCUGAGCGGGCCUUCCCCGGGAUCCCCCGAGGCGGAGGGCUCGAGGGCUCUUGGCUGGAGAAAGGGCGACCACCCGGUACCCCCAGAGUGAACCAUCCUCCUUCGGACAGCGUGAGCAGGCCUAACUUCACUCUGAUAAUAAGGUAGGUGUGAGUCCUUUGCCAGCCUGCGAGGGAGAUUUGGGGGGCUUGGGCCUGGGGCCCAGGGAGGGCGGGCACCCCAAACCCGCUAGGCUGGUUCUGCAGCCCCUCCCCCACACAGAUGUGUGGGACUGCGUGUGUGAAAUCGGCUCCCUGCUGGGCCUGCUGGGUCCAUCCAUCCCCGCCUGUCAGCUUCUGUUGUCAAGAGUUUGGGGCGUGCAAUUCUAUGCAGUGUUGAGACGCAUAGAAGGUUGCACUUGCAAGUAUUUCCCAGUUCUGUGUUUUGCGGUGGUGGUGGGGAGGGCCCUGGGUGCCUCUUCAGAAAGGUACCAUCUGCUGCCAGGAAGCCGGGCCCUGCUCUGGCCCUCCCUUCCGGCCCUGAGUGGGGACAUGUGGGUGACUAUGAACUGGUAUCUUCCCUCUGAUGUCUAGCUGCUAGGGAGGUGGAGAACGCUACCAGAGAGCUGGGCCAGGUUCCUCUGAGAAAGAGGUUUUUUGACCCUUCGCCCCAUUCCUGGGAAUUCCACCAUUCUCUGCAAACCCCCCCCCCAAAAAAAUCCUGUUUCUACAAUCAGACAGACUGGGAUUUGAAACUUGGCUAGCUAUUUACGUGCUGUGACUUUGCUUGAGCAGGCUUAGUCUCAGAGCCCCGUUGCCCCUGUGCAAAAAUGGGCCUGGGUCAGUGAUUCCCUGUCUUGAGCAUGCUCUUUAGGACCGGCUCCAGGGCCCAGUUUUUGAUUCAGUAGAUGGGGACGGAGAACUUGGAUUUCUAACUAGUUCCCAGGUGAUGCUGAUGGCUGCAAUCCGAGGACACACUUUGAGAACCUUUGGGCUGGGUAACACCUGGAGGUUUUGUGAGGGGGACAGGAGCGAGUGCACUUGAAACCCCAAGCUCAGCGCCUGAUAGAGGCGUUAGCUUCCGAGUAAUGGCAAUGCUCUCCUUACUCUCCUGACACAAGCUGACUGCUCAUGGCUUCCUCCUGUCUGGCUCCAGGAAGCGCCACAGCUGGAGGUGGUGUGGCCCUUGAUCUCUGAUCCCUCCCCCAUGUGAUCUCUAGUUAGGGAUUACUUUGAUGAACCAUUUGGGUCCAGGUGCCACUGAUCUGCACCACUACCCCAUUUGGACUGAGGUUUGGCUUCCUUGUGGGAUGAGCCCUGCCUACUUUUACCCCACUCCUCAGUGUGAGAGCUAAACUGAAGUUUGGGGGAGCCGGAAGGGCUAGACCUGCAGGUUUGGUUGAGAGCCAUCUUGACGCUUAAUCAAGGGAGGCUCUAAGUCUGGUGGCUGUGCUGGUGACCUUGGGUGAGUCUCCAGUGUGAAAUGAUAAUAAAGACGCAGGCUGGAAACGGGAGUGGGAGGAUUAAGUGUGAUUAAGGGGGCUUGGCCUCACGUUCAGGCUUCACACUAGUUGGCCUCCAUUCCCAUGUGGCUGCAGGGAGUGGGGGUUGGGCUGUCUGUGAGCUCCUCCCCCACCAACCCACCCCAGAGGCACGUGGCAAAGCUUCAGGGCAAAGGGGAAGACUGACUUUCCGUAGGCAGGGAGCCAGCCCCAAUUUUCUUCCUGUGUGGUUUGAGUCGGAAUGGUGGCCUGCCCCCAGCUGUUCCAUGAGUGGGUCAUGAUCUGGGGUCCCAGAGAGUAGAAGUGACUCACCCAAGGUCACGAGGCCACCACUGGCAGCCAGGAUGGGUUCCAGGUGUCUUGACUUGCAGCCCAUCGCCUGUGUCCAUGGCACCCCCCACCCCAGCUGUCUGGGUUAUUUUGGGCUUCCUCCCGUGCCAGGCAUCACUGCCAGGAAGCUGGGAAAGCUGUCUGGUUGAAAGUAACCAGCGUGGUGCUCUUGGCUCCUUUUGGCCCCCUUCCCUUGGCCCCACGAGGGUCUACAGCCCCACUAAGCUGGGUUUGGUCCAUCUUUUGCUGGUGGGGGAAGGAGGUUCCCUCUGCUGCACCUGGCACCAGACCCUCUUCCCUCUGGGGGCGGGGGGGACGCUUUGUAGAAGUUGAUGAGGCUCAUGUUCUUCAUAUCCCGUGCGCGUCUUCCUUCCACUCUGGCCCGGAAUCAAGAUUUCAAGUUCGGUGCUGCUAUUGAAUUGCUCUUUCAACCCCCUUGAUCCUCAGGUGACUGACUUGCUGCCUGAGGGUGUCUGCCAUCCCUUUAGAUAGACUCCUUAGGGCUCCUGGAGACAGGGGUCUUUAUGUCCCACAGGCAUCGGAUAGUUAAGUAAUUGAUUUAAACCCCCCCUCCCCCCCAGCCACUGCCUGGAGGGCUAGAGCCAGGUCCUCCACUCCCGCCCUCGGAACAAUUAGGGAGCAAUUAGGUGCGAACCUGUGGUCUGGAUGUGAUUUUUGGGAGGGAGAGGUGUCCCGGUGACCUGUAAGGGUCAUACCCCCUCCCCACUUCCCUCUCUUCUUUACCUCUUUCACCUUUCUUUGUCCCCCCACCGCACCCCCAUCGCCCCCCCCCCGGGGGGGGCAGGGAGGGGCGCAGCAGCUUGUCUGUCCUCCGGCUGUGGUUCCUCCUGGCUCAGAGGUUGGCCCCGCCCCCCGGUCGCCCCGUGAGCUCAGGGCGGGGCUGCUCCUGGCGCCAAUCCGGUGGGGCCAGCCUGGAGAGGGCCACGCCAGCGGAAGGGCGGCCCAAGGCUGGGAGGUGGCUGGACCUGCCUAGCUACUGGACACCAGGGUCCCGCCUCUUCCGGCUCAUCCACCGGGAGCCCCAGCCUGGAAUACGACCUUUUGGACCCUCUGGGUGGAGACUGCCUCUGCCUGGACUGUGGCAAGAGGCACCCCGCCAUCUUGGAGGCCGCCUGGGUCCAGCGCUGUCUCCAGCUGGCCAUGACCUCAGCAAGUCCCCGCCCCUCUGGGAGCUGAGGUCUCCGCAUGUGAACCAGGAGGAAGGAGGUGGAGGAUGACCUUUUGAGCCGUCUCUGAGUCUGGCUUUGUGAGGGGAGCUUUUUGUGUUUCAGCAUGACCUCCCCACCAGCACCACCAGGUACUGAGCCCUGGAGAGAGUCCUUGACUCCCCGGCCAACCCCGGCCACCUCCCAUCUCUGGUACCUCAAAGAAUAUCUCAGUGUCUUCUGUCUCAUCUGGGGUGGAUGACCGGUCCCUCAGGUGUGAGGUGACCGCUUAGGAUGUUCUCAUGUACCAGGGAAGUAUAAGCUGGAAGAAUUGUCGUUAACUUCCUUACCUAUGCUGGGCAGACCUUGCUCUGAAAAGACAGAAGUGGAUCUGGCCCUUACUUCUCUCCUGGUCUCAGUUGGCCUUACUGUAGCACUGGCCGAAUGAAUUCCCCCCACAAAUGCUACCUGGCCUCCCCGAGGCUUCUGUGUCCAACAGCUCUAUGUUAAGAUCCAAUUUAAAGAAUCUUUCUUGCUUUCCUAAACCUCUCCAGGAAUUCCUGGUGAAUAGAAGGUGAAUGACUUGCGUCCUCAGAACAUCUGACAGGUAAGGGAGCACGUUCUCCCCAGGCGUGUGGGCAGACCCAGCUCCUCAGCUGGCCUGCCCUGGCCCAGCUGCCUCUGAGGAAGCUCUCAGCAGCUGGCCUGGCUCCUGGGUAUUUUUAGGUACAGAUCCAGCCUCUUCACCACUGGAGCUGAGUCCAAAUCAAACACACUCCAGGCCGGGUCAGGCUGGGGUUCUGCCAGCCUCUUGGUCAGGCGUGGGUGGGUGGGCAGGCCGGCUGGGGCCAGUGUCAGCUGUUCUGCCCGGAUGCAGGCAGGGCUGGGAAGCCUCUCCUUUCCUCCCCUCCCCCGCCUCAGUUUUGUGGAAGCCAUUUGUUCUGUCUUAAGUUGGGGUCAGAGUCCUGUUUCUCAGGUGGAGAAAAUGGAAACUUGAGGUCCAGGAUUUUGAGGAAAGUCAGGAGAUGUGGUGAACCCCAAGGUGACAGUUUGCUAAGAGUGCGGUGACGCUCCUAACUGAAUUCUCCCCCCGGCCCCUCCUCCUCUUGCCUUCCAGUUCCCCCCCCCCGCCCCCGAGCUUUAGGGGUCCCUGAUUCAGGGUCGGGCCUGGGGCUGGCUGUGAAGGUAAGCAGGCGGCCCCUCACUCAGAGGCCUGUCCGUCCUGCCUCUCCUGCCAGCCUCAGGCUGCCACUGUGGAAACCUGACCCCAGCCCUGCCUCACCAGCCAGUCAGUUCCUCUUGGGUCACCAGAGAGAGAGCUUGAGGGCCCGGCUUUGGCUGGGCGCUUCUUUUCAGGAGCUUUCUGUCCAGACACCCCUCUUGAGCCUGGCAGCAAGGCCGCCCUCCCUGAUCUAACCCCAGUUACCUUGACAACCAUCUUUGGUCUUCGCCGCCCAGGCGCUGUGGAACCUGAUGGGGUUUUCCUGCCACCAUGCCUUUGCCCAGGGUGCCCAUCCUGCUUCCCCUGGUCUGCCCUCCCAGCACUGCCUGGCUGAGGCUCAACCUUCCCUGGACCCUACAGAGGUUCUUGUCUCUCUAACUGUUCACAUCUCCCAGACUCCUUCAGACUGCUUCCCCAAGACAGCGCCUUGCAGGCAGGAGCACAGUUGCCUCUCAAUAAACUUGUGUUGCA